rnacentral:rRNA from 1 species
CAAGGAGUCGGAGCGGGUAUUUAUAUCCGUCACGGCGUGCCUAUUGAAGAAUGAGCCAACGAGUUUAUGUGUGCGGCUUGGCUAAGGGGUAAAGCUCCGGAGUCGCAGGGAAACCAAGUGUUAAUAGCGCGUAAUUGGUCGUACACAUAAGACCCGAAGCCAGGUGAGCUAUCCAUGAGCAGGGUGAAGUGCUGAGAAAUCAGCAUGGAGGCCCGAACCGGUAGAUCGUACAACGUCUUCGGAUGACUUGUGGAUUGGAGUGAAAAGCUAAUCGAACCUGGUAAUAGCUGGUUCUCUCCGAAAUAGCUUUAGGGUUAGCGUCAUGUGAUCCCAUUGGGGGUAGAGCACUGGAAAGUUUCGACAGGGAGCAAUCUCGCGAAAUUUAUCAAACUCCGAAUACCAAUUGGUUAUAAUAUGGCAGUUAGACUACGGGGGCUAAGCUCCGUCAGUCAAAAGGGAAACAGCCCAGAUCUCUAAAUAAGGUCCCUAAAUAUACACUCAGUGCGUCUUAAGGAGGUAAGGUUUCUUCGACAAUGAGGAAGUUGGCUUAGAAGCAGCCAUCUUUUAAAGAAAGCGUAACAGCUCACUCAUCAAGAGACCUCGCGCCGCAGAUAAUCGGGGCUUAAGUGUAUUACCGAAUUUGAGGGCUCGUACAUUAGUACGAGCGGUAGGAGAGUAUUCCACUCUAGCAGUGAAGCCAAAGGCGUGAGCCAUGGUGGAGCGUGUGGAAGUAAGAAUGUUGGCACAAGUAACCGCAAGCAGGGUGAGAUCCCCUGCCGCCGAAAAACUAAGGUUUCCUGGGCAACGGUAAUCGUCCCAGGGUUAGUCGGGUCCUAAGGCAAUGGUGAAAACCGCAGCCGAUGGACACAUGGUUAAUAUUCCAUGACUUCUUUAAUAUUCGAUGGAGUGACGAAGGAUAGUAGUGUAUGCCGGUUAUUGGAUUCCGGUAGGCAACUCGACUGUGAGGGAUAGGUAAAUCCGUUCCUCGUUAACAACAGGGUUGUCUCGUGCAGAGGUACGCCAAAGCGAAGAUACAUGAGCAUACUUCCGAGAAAAGCUUCUAAGAUUAGUAUUAGAGAACCCGUACCGUAAACCGACACAGGUAGUUAGGUCGAGUAGACCAAGGCGAACGAGUAAGAGAUCCCCAAGGAACUCGGCAAAUAAGCAGCCGUAACUUCGGAAUAAGGCUUCCCCCCACUUAACUGUGGGGGGCGCAGCGAAAGAUUUCCUGGCAACUGUUUACCAAAAACACAGCUCCCUGCGAACUCGUAAGAGUAUGUAUAGGGGGUGACACCUGACCGAUGCCAGAAGGUUAAAUACGGGUGGUGCGAUUAUAUCAAGCUGACUUGUAUAAGCCCUGGUGAAUGUCGGCCGUAACUAUAACGGUCCUAAGGUUCUGGUAUUGAAAUAUUCUCGAUACCAGAAGGACUGGGACCGUUAGGCAGUUAGGCUACAGUUCACUGUAGAACAGUUUUUAGUAACAGUAUUAAACAGAUAAUCAGAACACUUCCAGCUACCUAUUGCAUAGAAAUAUGUAAAUAGUCCAAACAUGAUCAACGAGAGACCAACGUCAUGGGCCUUAACUCGCAAGAGCAGGCUAAGAUAGAGUCCUUCUGAGAGGAAUAGAAGAGCGAAAUUCCUUGUCGGGUAAGUUCCGACGCGCACGAAUGGUGUAAUGACUGGGAAGCUGUCUCGGGGAUUUGCUCGGUGAAAAUACAGUACCGGUGAAGAUGCCGGUUACCUGCAGUUAGACGAAAAGACCCCGGAAGCUUUACUAUAGCUUGGUAUUGGGUAUGAUUGUGUAUUACGUAGCAUAGGAAGGAGACUUUGAAGCGCCGCUCUCGGGCCGCGUGGAGUCGUCAGUGAAAUACUUCUUUUUAUAUGGUCAUAUCCUAACCCUUACGGCAAAAACGUAAGGGAACAGUGCCUGGUUGGUAGUUUUACUGGGGCGGUAUCCUCCUAAAGAGUAACGGAGGAGUUCAAAGGUACGCUAGGCGCGAAUGGAAACCGUGCCGAUAGUGCAAUGGCAUAAGCGUGCUUGACUGUAAGUCGGCCAUGACGAGCAGGUACGAAAGUAGAACAUAGUGAACCGACAAUUCGCAUUAGAUGCGGUUGAAGAUUAACGGAUAGAAGCUACUCCGGGGAUAACAGGCUAGUUCCGCCUAAGAGUUCAUAUCGACGGCGGAGUUCGGCACCUCGAUGUCGGCUCACCUUAUCCCGGGGCUGGAGAAGGUCCCAAGGGUAUGGCUGUUCGCCAUUUAAAAAGGUACGCGAGCUGGGUUCAGACCGUCUAGGAAUUAGUUUACUGAUUUCUAGACCCGUCUGAAUCCCGAGGAAAGUUUUUUGAUUAUUUUUUAAUGUAAUAGAAAAAUAUGUUUUAGUCUUUUCGUCUAAGAUACAUAUCAAUGGUCCUGCAAUAUCAUUGUUAUGUAAAAGAUAUAAUAAUUAUGUUACUCAAGAGUAACAGAUUAAAAGAGAACCAUCUUAUUACGGCGGUCCUAUGUAGCGAUACAUAGCGACAUGCUCAACUAAUAUCGGUAGAACCCCACAGGGGCAAUACCGAGGGAAGGUUUUGUGAAUUUCAUAGAGGACUUUGUUCU